rnacentral:rRNA from 1 species
GCUUGUCUCAAAGAUUAAGCCAUGCAUGUCUAAGUAUAACUCUUUUACUUUGAAAACUGCGAACGGCUCAUUAUAUCAGUUAUAGUUUCUUUGAUAGUCCCUUACUACUUGGAUACCCGUAGUAAUUCUAGAGCUAAUACAUGCACUCGAGCCUCGACCGAGGCCCCGGCAACGGGGUCGCGGAAGAGGUGCUUUUAUUAGAUCAAAACCAGUCGGGGAAACGAUCGCGCCGGGUCAAACCGGUCGGUCGCGGAACCGUACCAAUUUUGGUGACUCUGGAUAACUUCACGCCGAUCGCACGGCCUUCGCGCCGGCGACGUAUCUUUCAAAUGUCUGCCUUAUCAACUGUCGAUGGUAGGUUACGCGCCUACCAUGGUUGCAACGGGUAACGGGGAAUCGGGGUUCGAUUCCGGAGAGGGGGCCUGAGAGACGGCUACCACAUCCAAGGAAGGCAGCAGG